rnacentral:rRNA from 1 species
GAUGAACGCUGGCGGCGUGCCUAAUACAUGCAAGUCGAGCGAACAGACGAGGAGCUUGCUCCCCUGACGUUAGCGGCGGACGGGUGAGUAACACGUGGAUAACCUACCUAUAAGACUGGGAUAACUUCGGGAAACCGGAGCUAAUACCGGAUAAUAUAUUGAACCGCAUGGUUCAAUAGUGAAAGACGGUUUUGCUGUCACUUAUAGAUGGAUCCGCGCCGCAUUAGCUAGUUGGUAAGGUAACGGCUUACCAAGGCAACGAUGCGUAGCCGACCUGAGAGGGUGAUCGGCCACACUGGAACUGAGACACGGUCCAGACUCCUACGGGAGGCAGCAGUAGGGAAUCUUCCGCAAUGGGCGAAAGCCUGACGGAGCAACGCCGCGUGAGUGAUGAAGGUCUUCGGAUCGUAAAACUCUGUUAUUAGGGAAGAACAAAUGUGUAAGUAACUAUGCACGUCUUGACGGUACCUAAUCAGAAAGCCACGGCUAACUACGUGC